rnacentral:rRNA from 1 species
UACGUAGGGUCCGAGCGUUGUCCGGAAUCAUUGGGCGUAAAGAGCUCGUAGGCGGUAUGUCGCGUCUGCUGUGAAAGACCGGGGCUUAACUUCGGUUUUGCAGUGGAUACGGGCAUGCUUGAGGUAGGUAGGGGAGACUGGAAUUCCUGGUGUAGCGGUGAAAUGCGCAGAUAUCAGGAGGAACACCGGUGGCGAAGGCGGGUCUCUGGGCCUUACCUGACGCUGAGGAGCGAAAGCAUGGGUAGCCAACAGGAUUAGAUACCCUGGUA